CAUAUGGAGUCACAGCAAAAAGACAAUAUAUAUAGUGAAGGCAUGGAAUAGCCUUCCAUCUGAAGUGGUAGAGGUUAACACAGUAAAGGAGUUUAAGCAUGCGUGGGAUAGGCAUAAAGCUAUCCUAACUAUAAGAUAAGGCUAUGGACUAAUGAAAGUAUUUAGAAAAUUGGCAGACUAGAUGGGCCGAAUGGUUCUUAUCUGCCGUCACAUUCUAUGUUUCUAUUCCAUACAUUUCAUAUUUUUUUCAGUUUUCUGCAAAAAAUAUAAAUACAUGAUUUUCCUCAAGCUUUCCUUUUUUAUACACAUACACACAUUACAUACAUACACACACGCGCACACACACACACCCC